GUAUUCACUUCAGCAGCACAUAUACUAAAAUUGGAAUGUUACAGAGAAGAUUAGCAUCGCCCCUGCACAAGGAUGACAUGCAAAUUCAUGAAGCGUUCCAUAUUUAA